CCUACGGGUGGCAGCAGUGAGGAAUAUUGGUCAAUGGUCGAGAGUCUGAACCAGCCAAGUAGCGUGAAGGAUGAAUGCCCUAUGGGUUGUAAACUUCUUUUAUAAGGGAAUAAAACGAGGCACGUGUGCCUGUAUGCAUGUACUUUAUGAAGAAGGAUCGGCUAACUCCGUGCCAGCAGCCGCGGUAAUACGGAGGAUCCGAGCGUUAUCCGGAUUUAUUGGGUUUAACGGGUGCGCAGAUGGGUUGUUAAGUCAGGUGUGAAAGCUGGCGGCUCAACCGUAGGACUGCAAUUGAUACUGGCAGUCUUGAGUACAGUAGAGGUAAGCGGAAUUCGUGGUGUAGCGGUGAAAUGCAUAGAUAUCGCGAAGAACCCCGAUUGCGAAGGCAGCUUACUGAACUGUGACUGACGUUGAGGCUCGAAAGCGUGGGUAUCAAACAGGAUUAGAUACCCUAGUAGUC
rnacentral:rRNA from 1 species